UACGAAGGUGGCAAGCGUUGUUCGGAUUUACUGGGCGUACAGGGAGCGUAGGUGGUUAGGUAAGCCCUCCGGGAAAUCUUCGGGCUUAACCCGGAAAGGUCGGAGGGGACUGCCUGGCUAGAGGACGGAAGAGGAGCGCGGAAUUCCCGGUGUAGCGGUGAAAUGCGUAGAGAUCGGGAGGAAGGCCGGUGGCGAAGGCGGCGCUCUGGGACGUUCCUGACACUGAGGCUCGAAAGCGUGGGGAGCAAACAGG
rnacentral:rRNA from 1 species